rnacentral:rRNA from 1 species
UACAGAGGUCUCAAGCGUUGUUCGGAUUCAUUGGGCGUAAAGGGUGCGUAGGCGGCGCGGUAAGUCGGGUGUGAAAUCGUCGGGCUUAACUCCGAAACUGCAUUCGAUACUGCCGUGCUUGAGGACUGGAGAGGAGACUGGAAUUUACGGUGUAGCGGUGAAAUGCGUAGAUAUCGAUAAGGAAGACCAGUGGCGAAGGCGGGUCUCUGGACAGUUCCUGACG